rnacentral:tRNA from 1 species
AGCUAACUAAGUGUCUUAUGCACAUUGAUUUUUCACGUCAAAAGAGCACAUGGUGCAUUUAGCUAC